UACGUAGGGACCAAGCGUUGUCCGGAAUCAUUGGGCGUAAAGAGCGUGUAGGCGGCUUGUUAAGUCUUGCGUGAAAUCUCGGGGGCUCAACCCCGAGCGGUCGUGAGAAACUGGCAGGCUAGAGUGCGGGAGAGGAGAGUGGAAUUCCUGGUGUAGCGGUGAAAUGCGCAGAUAUCAGGAAGAACACCCGUGGCGAAGGCGGCUCUCUGGAACGCAACUGACGCUGAGACGCGAAAGCGUGGGGAGCAAACAGG
rnacentral:rRNA from 1 species